AGUGGUGGCUGCUGCCCCGAUCGCCCCUUAGGAGCAGGGAGAGAAGCCCUCAGGGGCAAUCGGGGCCAGUAGCCAACACUCCAACCCACUGAUGGCGCCAGCCCCACUGGCACCUGCUGCUGGUGCUGGCCCCAAUCAGUCUGCACUGUGCUGUCAGUGGGUGUGAGCAG